rnacentral:rRNA from 1 species
CAAUAGCGUAUAUUAAUGUUGUUGCAGUUAAAAAGCUCGUAGUUGGAUUUCGAAUGGGAGCGGUGGGUCGGGUCCGCAAGGGCUCGUUACCUGUUUCGUCUCCGGUUCUUUUUCGGGAUUUCUUUUUCUGGCGUGGCUGGCAUUGAGUUGUCGGUGGCGUCGGGCCCGUCGUUUACUGUGAACAAAUUAGAGUGUUCAAAGCAAGGUGUGUCUUGAAUACAUUAGCAUGGAAUAAUGAGAUAGGACUUUGGUGGUUUCGGUGAAAGCCGGAUAUUUUGUUGGUUUGCACGCCAAAGUAAUGAUUAAUAGGAGCAGUUGGGGGUAUUCGUAUUCAAUUGUCAGAGGUGAAAUUCUUGGAUUUCUAGAAGACGAACUACUGCGAAAGCAUUUACCAGGGAUGUUUUCAUUA